UGCUUAUAAAAACUUCAAUUAUUUUGAUGUUACUCUGGGUUGUUGGAAGGAGUUGCGUGAGUCCAGCACUGGUCUGAGACUAGACCACAUGGAUCCUGGCUUCAAAAGGAUCGUGGACGUAACAGUGGAGGAGGUGCUGUGUGGAGUUGAAGUUUGAAGGCAUUUCAGGACCUCAGGAAGACUAGACUCAAAUGGAGGAAAAAGAGUCAGUCAGAUGGGUACAUGCUGACAUUACGCCUCACCCAGCAGGGGACAGUGACAGCCCUGUAGUAGUAUUGCUAAGACUCUAGGUCUUCCAUCGGGUGGAGCCUGAAUGCAGGUGGGCGUAGCAUAAGUCAGGGGACGACACCCUGGUGAUCUGAAUUCAAUCUCUGUGCUUCACGAGUGAAAAUGUGGGAGCACUCUUGAUCUUCCUUCAUAACAAGGAGCCCCAUUGUCUUGAGAAUCACUGUCUUCUGAAUAGUCGAAUUAUGGAACAAUUUUGGUUUCUCCUUUAUAGUUUUCUGUAAAAAAAUUUCGAAAGGAACAGCUUCUCAGGCCGUCCCCCAGGUAUACUGAGAUUAAGGGUGGAAGUGACGGGUAUGGUGCUAGGACCAGCUUGUCAUACGAUUCUGCUGAUGAGUCAGGUUUGAGAAUCGCCAAAGAAGCUUCUGGAAGGGAUACGCUCUCUUCUCUAGCU